ensembl:lncRNA
AAAAAAAAGAGGAAGAUUGGCAACAGCUGUUAGCUCAGGGUGACUCUUUCCCAGCCAAAUAAACAAACAAACAAAAAAGACAUCAGGGAGAAGUCACACAGGUGGGAAGCGAGGUCUCUUCUGUGUCAAAAGUUCUUUGGAGAGUAGUUAAACUUUUGUUACAGGCCAUAUCAUUUAGAGUGAUAUUAUUCUAUGUAAAUAGAUGUUUUACUCUGGUUGAAAGUAGGGUGAAGAAAGAAGGAGUAAAUUUAAACCAUGUUAUUUUGACAGCAGAGCUGGAGCCUUGGUGGUGAAAAGAGUGACAAGGUAGGACAGUCCCAGGGUUGUCUGAAUAGUGUGAAAAUGUGGACAUACAAAUUUGUUGUCAAGAGGAGCCAAACCAUGGUCAGGAAGAUGGGACCGCGCCUCCAGGCUGAAGUAUAAGGAGAAAGACAAAUGGAGAAAGAGCAGCUCGGUCAGCAUCUGAAGGCUGGCAGGACGGACACUGACAGGUGCAGGAGAGUAGAGCGCGUGAAGGCAAGUGUGUGAGAGCUCACGGCCUGGUACAGAGGAGGCACUGUAAGCGGUUCUUGAAUGGACACAGACAUCAAGGUUGGAAGAAACUGCAGAGUUGUAAACCAUUUCCUCUCUUCAAGAUCCUGUGCCAUAAAAUAAUUAGAAUGAUCCUUUAAAAAUAUGGCACUCUGGGGUGGUUGGAGGUGGCAGGGCUCAAAAAAAGUCACUCCUCUGAUUGAAAUCCUUUGAUGGUUUCCCGUCUCAUCUAGAUAUCCACAUGACUUCCUUCUUCUUUUAGGUCUGUGUUCAAAAAAGGCCUUCCACAACACACAAAAUAUCCUCAUCCCUUUCUGUCCCGCUUUUUCUUUACAGCAUUCAUCCCCGCAUGACCUGUAUCUUUCUUUAUUUAUGGUCUGCCUCUCCCUACUAUAUUGUAAGCUCCUUGAAAGCAGGAACUUUGUUUUGUUCACUGUGGUAGCCCCAGCAUCUAAAACAACGCCUGACAUGUGGAAGGUGCUCAAAAAUACUUGUUGAGGGGCUGGCCUGGUGGCACAGUGAUUAAGUGCGCACCUUCUGCUUCGGCGGCCCGGGGUUCGCUGGUUCAGAUCCUGGGUGUGGAUAUGGCACCACUUGGCACGCCAUGCUGUGGUAGGCGUCCCACAUAUAAAAUAGAGAAAGAUGGGCACAGAUGUUAGCUCAGGGCCAGUCUUCCUCAGCGAAAAGAAGAGGAUUGGCAGCAGUUAGCUCAGGGCUAAUCUUCCUCAAAAAAAAAAAAAAAUGUUGAAUGAAUGAAUAAAUGUGCCGGCCAGAGGAGACCUAGAGCAUCUCUGAUUUUUAUCUGGCUACAGGCCAAGGUGCUGGAGAAUGUGGGAUACAGGUGUCCAUGUGGGCUCCUACAGCCAUGUUCCUCCUACCAGACCAGUGGGAAGAGCUGAGCUUGACAAUGCCAAGAUCCCAGGCCCUCCUGUUCUGGGAGUUACUAUUAACUAUCUG